rnacentral:lncRNA from 1 species
AUGAAUCACAGCAUGCAAGGCCUCCCUGUCCAUCACCAACUCCUGGAGCUUACUCAAACUCAUGUCCAUCAAGUCGGUAAUGCCAUCCAGCCAUCUCAUCCACUGUCAUCCCCUUCUCCUCCAGGUGAGCUAUUUCAAAACCUAAAAGAUGAUGCUGUGAAAGUGCUGCACUCAAUAUGCCAGCAAGUUUGGAAAACUCAGCAGUGGCCACAGGACUGGAAAAGGUCAGUUUUCAUUCCAAUCCCAAAGAAGGGCAAUGCCAAAGAAUGCUCAAAUUACCACACAAUUGCACUCAUCUCACACGCUAGUAAAGUAAUGCUCAAAAUUUUCCAAGCCAAGCUUCAGCAGUACAUGAACCGUGAACUUGCAGAUGUUCAAGCUGGUUUUAGAAAAGGCAGAGGAACCAGAGAUCAAAUUGCCAACAUCUGCUGGUUCAUCGAAAAAGUGAGAGAGUUCCAGAAAAACAUCUAUUUCUCUUUUAUUGACUAUGCCAAAACCUUUGACUGUGUGGAUCACAAUAAACUGUGGAAAAUUCUGAAAGAGAUGGGAAUACCAGACCACCUGACCUGCCUCUUGAGAAAUCUGUAUGCAGGUCAGGAAGAAACAGUUAGAACUGGACAUGGAACAACAGACUGGUUCCAAAUAGGAAAAGGAGUACGUCAAGGCUGUAUAUUGUCACCCUGCUUAUUUAACUUCUAUGUAGAGUACAUCAUGAGAAACGUUGGACUGGAAGAAACACAAGCUGGAAUCAAGACUGCUGAGAGAAACAUCAAUAACCUCAGAUAUGGAGAUGACACCACCCUUAUGGCAGAAACUGAAGAAUUAAAAAGCCUCUUGAUGAAAGUGAAAGAGGAAAGUGAAAGAGUUGGCUUAAAGCUCAACAUUCAGAAAAUGAAGAUCAUGGCAUCCGGUACCAUCACUUCAUGGGAAAUAGAUGGGGAAACAGUGUCAGAUUUUAUUUUUUGGGGCUCCAAAAUCACUGCAGAUGGUGACUGCAGCCAUGAAAUUAAAAGACACUUACUCCUUGGAAGAAAAAUUAUGACCAACCUAGAUAGCAUAUUCAAGAGCAGAGACAUUACUUUGCUGACUAAGGUCCAUCUAGCCAAGGUUAUUGUUUUUCCAAUGGUCAUGUAUGGAUGUGAGAGUUGGACUGUGAAGAAGGCUGAGCGCCGAAGAAUUGAUGCUUUUGAACUGUGGUGUUGGAGAAGACUCUUGAGAGUCCCUUGGGCUGCAAGGAGACCCAACCAGUCCAUUCUGAAGGAGAUCAGCCCUGGGAUUUCUUUGGAAGGAAGGAUGCUGAAGCUGAAACUCCAGUACUUUGGCCACCUCAUGUGA